GCCGGUGUGGUGGAAUUGGCAGACGCGCGGGACUCAAAAUCCCGUUCUGGCAACAGAGUGCGGGUUCGACCCCCGCCACCGGCACCA
rnacentral:tRNA from 1 species